rnacentral:rRNA from 1 species
CCUACGGGAGGCAGCAGUGGGGAAUAUUGGGCAAUGGGCGCAAGCCUGACCCAGCAACGCCGCGUGAAGGAAGAAGGCUUUCGGGUUGUAAACUUCUUUUAAGAGGGAAGAGCAGAAGACGGUACCUCUUGAAUAAGCCACGGCUAACUACGUGCCAGCAGCCGCGGUAAUACGUAGGUGGCAAGCGUUGUCCGGCUUUACUGGGUGUAAAGGGCUUGCAGCCGGGAAGACAAGUCAGAUGGGAAAUCCCGCGGCUCAACCGCGGAACUGCAUUUGAAACUGUUUUUCUUGAGGACCGGAGAGGUCAUCGGAAUUCCUUGGGGAGCGGUGGAAUGCGGAGAUAUAAGGAAGAACACCAGGGGCGAAAGCGGAUGACUGGAAGGCAACUGACGGGGAGGCGCGAAAGGGGGGGGAGCAAACAGGAUUAGAUACCCCAGUAGUC